rnacentral:lncRNA from 1 species
AUCAAUUAGUUAACACCUUUAUUCUGCUAUUUUGACGCUCAUAAUUGUACAAGAGGACAAUUACAUAAUUCGAAAUUUAAAGGCAAGCAUUGUAAUGCUUAAUCGACAAGUUUAGAAUCUUGCUUUAUUACACUGUGAUUUUAUUAUUUGUGAAUGAAUGUAGUGAAGCUUCACAUUCAAAUCCAACAUCCAAAUUAACAGCUUUAUAUAUAUGCUUAUAAUCAUAGUGCACGUGUUAUACCUUCUACCUAAUUGACAUCCAUACAUAAACGACCAACUAUCUCUGAACACGAUACUUUCAUCCUACUGGAACUCAUAUCAAUCCAAAAUAGUUCAACACAUUCCUAUAUAAUCACAAACUGAAAUGAAAACGAUUACUAAAAAUUUUAUCUCAUUUUUGAGUCACUCUAUAAACAGAUUUACAAAGCAGCUGACAGAAAAUCAACUAAAACUAACAGGAACUAUUCUGUUACUCUAACAUGAAAUUAACCACAAUCAGUCUUUAGUUUUGACUAUAAACGGUAUACUACUAGCCUCAUACUCAAGUGUCCAUACAAUUCUGAGAAAACAAAUAGUUAUGUGCAUAACAUAACUAGCAUUCAAUUCAUAAUAUUAGCUAUGUAAAAACAUCCUACAUAUCGUCCACUCAAACAAUCAUAACAUCAAUAACAUGAACUCUAACAAUCACAUAAUAAGCUAUUUACUAAACGAAAUACAUCCAGCUAUAAGCAACAAUAAAACUGCAGUAGAUUAAUUGAGCGUGAGAAAACCUUCAUUUCACCUUCAAAUGGAGCUAUUAAGCAAAACAAAAGCAAAAUAAGUGCCUGGAAAUUGAAGUAUAAAAAGGGUAAGGGAUCAGUCAAAAAGCAACAGCACCAGCAAAGUGCCCAGAUUCACACAACCAGGAGUGAAAUUGAUUCAGAAAGACCAAUAAAACAGUAAACCAAACAGCAACCUUUAAAUCAUGCUUUUGAAAUCCAAUCUCAAUUCAACUCCACACUAAAUGAAUAAGAAAUUGUAUCAAUACAUUAAAACUUUAAAAUCAUAGAAGAAGCUCAAUGAAACAGUAAUUCUGUGAGGUUUCCGGUCAUUUCUUUUUAGGAUUUCUUUUUCACUUUUCAAUUUAUUUUCUUUUCUAUGGAUCUCUCAAACUCUGCCUUCCUAUCUUAUAUUUUCCAAUCUAUCUAUCUUACUUUCUUUGAACUCUCUAUUGUUUUAAGCUCUCUUAGAUUCUCAAUUGUCUAUCUCUGUGUGUUGCAAACUCUAUCUUUUUAGUAUUUUUCCAGAGUCUUCUUUCUAUGUGUUCUUAGUUGUCUCUUUCUCUCUUUGGACUCAAUGUGUGUCCCUUACAGUCUGAUUUCCAGCCUUUAAAUAAGCAUACCGUUAGUGCACUUAUCACUAUCACUCUUAUCUCUUCAAUUUUCAAUUCCCUCAUUACUCUAUUAUUCACCCAUUGAGCCUAGGCAGACAUAUGGGACUAGUAGUCCUAAAUUAAUCACUUAGUUUCCUUGCUUUAUGUAUAAGAACAAUGACUUAACGGAUUGCAAACCAACACAAAUAAAUUAGAAAUGAAUUAGAUGAGUGAAUUAAAACGGAAUUUAAUUAAAACUAUAUAAACUUAGAACAUGAAGGAUUAUAUUACUAAACCAAAGUCAUUGAAAACCUAUAUGACAUGAUAACAACCAAAUAUGUACAUGAAUAAACCGAACAACCCUCAAUUUUGAAUAAGAAACAGACAAACACAACAUAACAUAAAUCCGGUCACGAACUAAUAAUUCUAAAAAAACUAAAUAAAGAUAACAAGAAAGGAGUAGAAGAAGAUGACAAAAGAACAAAAUGAAAUAUAUAAAAGGGUGAACAUAAAUACCUAAAAACUCGGACAUUAAAAGUUGCGAUGAAUCUUUAAAUUCUUAAAUUUCUGGCCGAAUUUGACAUUAUUCGGAUUCGACCUUAAACUCUAUUGAAUUAUUUAUUUGAGGUUUUUGGGGAUUUUAGGGUUAAUCAUCAAUUCAAUAUUCGACGAGUUUCAGAGGGAUUUGAAGAAAUACAAUUAGAGAUUAGAAUAUGGGAGGUUAUGGGGGUCACAUGUGUUUGGGUAAACUAGGAUUUGGGGUUUCAAAUUCCGAUCGAAGAUUCGACGAGUUUGGCUAUCAUUUGAAGGAAACGGUUUAGGGAUUUGAGAAGAGGGGGUUGAGGGGACUUUGGGGUGUAAUUUUGGUAAGGUUUGGUGGCUGACCACCGUCGUGGGUGAUUUUCGAACGGCAGUCACCGGCGAGGUUACCUGGGUCUCUAAAGAUGAAGGAGAGGGAUAAAUGGGGUUCUGAUUUGGGGUGUAUGAGUUAUACGAGUUGGGUAUAUUAAAAUUAGA